CUGGGUUUCACCAUGUUGGCCAAGCUGGUCUCAAUCUCCUGACCUCAGAAGAGCCACUUGCCUCAGCCUCUCAAAGUGCGGGGAUUACAGGCAUAAACCAUCGCACCUGGCCAUGAGACAUUUUUUCUGUGUCUUCUUAUAAAACCCUUAUCUGACAUAUGAUGCAAAUAUAUUUUCACAGUUUGCAAUUUUCCUUCUGUGAUAUUAUUUUACCAUAGAAAAUGUAUCCUUUUUUAUUAUUCAUGCAUUUCCUUUAUGAUUUCUCCCUUAGAAGUCAUACUUAGAAAGCCUUUUGCCCCACAGGCCCAUGUAAGCUCACAUUGUGAUGACUUUAUUCCUUCCACAUAAGUCUGGAAUCCUUCUGCCCUGUGGUAUGAAAUACACUCCUGUCUUGCUUUUCCACACGUAUUUCCCCACAGACUUGAAAGGCACACUCCUGACCAUACAAACUUGGACAUGCUCCUCAGCCUGUUUCUCCACUGUCUGUGUUGGGCCAUUGAUUUUUCUGUUUAUUUCUCAGCCGCUAAUGGAUUGUUUGAAAGUUCAUAGUUAGUCCACGGUUCAUUUCAAUAUUCAGUAGGGCAAGUCAUCCUUUUCUAUGUUUUUUGUCAAAAUCGUAUUAAAAGUUUUGUGUAGAUGAACAACAAGCCUGGAAUCACGCGUGGGAAUGCCAGCCUCACAUGACAUAGAAGACAGAGAAGGAGGAGGCGGGCACAAGCGGGACCCCACAGCCAGCAGCCCCCUUCAGACUGCUGGGAGAUAGCCAAUGGUUUGCAGCAACCAAGUGAAAGCCCAGCUAGGACAGAGGCGACCAAGACCCUCGCUGCAGCCUCAACUGCCCUCCUUGGCGAGGUGGCUGCUCCCAUGCCUGGGGUGAGUACUGGGCUCCGAGGAAGCAAACCAGACCCGGAUCUCAGGGAACUGUGUCUGUUUUGACCCGACGGGGAUUUCCUGGGUCACAGGGCUUGUCCUUGCUUUGCCUAUCUCGGAGUGAUCAGGGCGGGUGGCUAAGAGGACAGGGCUUCCCAGAACAGCAGAAGUGAGUGAGCAAGCUACUGCUGCCGGGAGCAAAGAGUAACAGCUGGAGUGGACAACAGACGCGCCCAAAGCCUGGGAGGAAAAACCAGCCUGUGACACCUCGGGUAAACAGGGCCUCUGAAAAGUUCCUUCUAUGCGAUUUUAGCAGUUCCUCAACAAGUAGACAUGAAAUUACCAUAUGAUCUCACAAUUCUACAUCUAGGUACACAGCCAGGAGUACUGACAAGAGGUGUUCCAGCAAGAAUUUGUGCACCAAUGUUCAUAGCAGCCCUAUCCACAAUAAGUGGAAACAACCCCCAUGUCCAUCCACUGAUGAGAGGAUUUUAAAAAUGUGGCAUAGCCAGAAGAUGGGCUAUUAAUCAGUCAUACAAAAAGGAAGUACUGAUACAUUCUACAACAUGGAUGAAAUUUGAAAACAUCAUGCUAACUGAAGAAGCCAGAACCACAUUAUUGUGUGAUUCCAUUUAUAUGAAAUGCCCAGAAAAAGCAAAUCUAUAGAGAUAGAAAGCAGAUGCGUAGUUGCCUAGGGCUGGAGAGAAGCGGCAAUGGGAAGAGACUGCCUAAUUUAUGGGUUUUCUUCGUGGGACAAUGAAAAAGGUCUUGAACCACAUAGUGGUGAUGGUUGUGCACAUGGCUAGUGUGUACCACCAUCAAUGCCACUGAAUUGUACACUUUAAAAUGGUUAAAAUGGUUAAUUUCAUGUUGUAUAUAUUGUAACACAAUUUUAAAAACAGUAUUAUAUAGAUUCAUUGAAAAUAUCACACCUAACAAUCAGAAUAAAAUUCACACAGAAUGUAUAUUUUUAUAUAUAUUUCAUGUGAAUUAUAUAUACCUCUUUAUACAUAAUCCAUGUGAAUAUAUAUCAAUACAUUUCUUGAAAAGUAUGUAAUAAUUCACUUUUAAUAAUCUUCCAAUGAAAGAGGCCUUUUAAAAUUACUUCAUAUAACCCAGGAGAUAUAAAAGAAAAAUUAAUAACUUUGUAGCAAUUUUAAUUAUAAAAAGUUGUGUACAAAAAAGAACCACUCUAAGUGAGUACUUAAAAAAGAAGACUAGCGGCCAGGCGCGGUGGCUCACCCCUGUAAUCCCAG
rnacentral:lncRNA from 10 species